rnacentral:rRNA from 1 species
UACGUAGGGUGCAAGCGUUGUCCGGAAUUAUUGGGCGUAAAGAGCUUGUAGGCGGUUUGUCGCGUCUGCUGUGAAAUUUCGGGGCUCAACCCCGAACUUGCAGUGGGUACGGGCAGACUAGAGUGUGGUAGGGGAGACUGGAAUUCCUGGUGUAGCGGUGAAAUGCGCAGAUAUCAGGAAGAACACCAAUGGCGAAAGCAGCUUUCUGGGACGGUACUGACGCUGAGACGCGAAAGCGUGGGGAGCGAACAGG